GUCUCAUUAAACACCAUUUUGUCAUGGGCAAUGUUAAAAUGUACGUGCGUUUACUUUGGUGGGUAAAUAUUGAAUUUUGGGGCAAUUGUGGGAGUUGUCGCAGCUGUUCCUGGUUAUAGGUCUGCUGAAAAUGUAUAUAAAUUUACCCUCGAUAAUUCCUUCAACUGUUAUAAAAUCUGCCCAGCUUCUCUAGAAAUUUGUGAGAUAUAUAUUAUUUUAAUUAUCUAUGAUUUUUUACAAUACGCCUAAGGCUUAUAAUCUUGCCACAAGGGCAUCAAUGUACAAACGUAAUCAUAGUUGAACCUGCUUUUACCCCCAGCCUCGUACCCAGGGUCUUUCCUCUUGGGGAGAAAAAACCCGGGUAGACGCUGGUCACGUGAUCUGCUAAAACCUAGCAGAUUUCUAAGUAGCCCGCGUGCAGGCCCAAGGGAACUGAUAGUGGGCCUGCAAGCAAGGCCCGGUAUUUUGUACUUUCCGCGUUCGCCCACGAAGCGGCAUUCUGAUUGGCUGUUUGCUGUUGGAUUCUAUAAUUAGGUCAGUGAUUCAUCACAAAGGCUCUCGAUAAGCUCAUAAUUCGAAAAUUGAUCACUUUUUUCGAUUAUAAAUGGAACAAGAACAGACUGUUUAUUGUUUACUUGAAGGAAGAGAUGUUUUUGUCGUUAUGCCAAUGGGGAUUGCUUGUCGUGAGGUGUUGGAAUAGCAACAUUACGACUGGGAUAAACUAUAGUAACCUUUACUUGAGUUUCAUUAAUUUCAAACAGACUUGAUACGUUAUAUGUUCCUCAAGAAAAUUAUCUUUUGGUUGAUGUUGAGAUGCAGUUGCAUGUAAGCCUAUUCGAAACACUUUGCGAUUUACAAGGCUUCGCUGAGAGAGCGAAACAGAAGACGGUAUUAAAUUGCCGUUUGAAACGAAACGAUCUGGACUCUGAACGCUCUCUUCUUUUGUAGAGUUCUUUACCAAAUGAAAUAACUGAAAUAAAUUUCGUACUUUCCGCCGUCAACAAGAAUUCCACACACGAUCUGAUAAGUGAGACAAU